rnacentral:rRNA from 1 species
UACAGAGGUCUCAAGCGUUGUUCGGAUUCAUUGGGCGUAAAGAGCGUGUAGGCGGCCAGGUAGGUCUGCUGUGAAAACUCGAGGCUUAACCUCGAGCUGUCGGCGGAAACCAUCUGGCUAGAGUCCGGAAGAGGAGAAUGGAAUUCCCGGUGUAGCGGUGAAAUGCGCAGAUAUCGGGAAGAACACCCGUGGCGAAGGCGGUUCUCUGGGACGGUACUGACGCUGGAGACGCGAAAGCGUGGGGAGCGAACAGG